CUUUGGUUGUUCUUCCUGUAUUAAUGGAUCCAGAAAAAAUCUUGAUUUGGAAUGUAAGGGGUUUAAAUUCCUCUGCUCGCCAGAAUUCGGUUAGGGAGUUGGUGUCCUCUUCACGAGCGGAUAUUGUGUGCGUUCAAGAAACAAAAUUAACUGAAGUCCCGCGACGAACCUUGUUGUCCAUGCUUGGAUCAGAUUUUUCAAAUUUUCUGGUUCUACCUUCUCUUGGAGCUAGUGGUGGGAUUUUAGUUGCCUGGAAACAUCAUCUGGGGAGCACAGGCCUUAACAGAAUUGAUGAUCACAGUAUCUCAGUCCAGUUCUGCACACAAGAGGGGCAAGCCUGGUGGCUAACUUGUGUAUAUGGACCGCAGAGUAGUGAAGAAAAAGUUCAGUUUCUGCAGGAACUAAGAAAUGUCAGAGCAGCUUGUCUUGGUCCAUGGAUAAUUGCAGGGGACUUCAAUCUCAUAUACAAAGCUGAAGACAAAAAUAAUUCUAAUCUUAAUCGUGCAAUGAUGGGUCGCUUUAGAAGGACCAUUGAUGAUUUAUCUCUUAAGGAGAUCCCCCUUCAUGGACGCAAAUACACAUGGUCCAACCAGCAAAACAUACCUACCUUGGUGAAGCUUGAUAGAGUCAUGUGUUCUACUGAUUGGGAGGACUUGUUCCCUAAUGUUUUGCUGCAGAGUUCAGCUUCUGAAGUGUCUGACCACUGCCCUUUACUGCUUGGUCUUCGGGAUAACAGGUCAGGAAAGCGAAGAUUCCAUUUUGAAUCUUUCUGGCCAAAGCUAGAUGGAUUCCAGGAGGCUGUUCAGGAGGCAUGGAACUCAGUCCCUGCCUUGGAGUGUCCUUUCCAAGCUCUAGACAGAAAACUUAAGGCGACAGCAAAAAGAUUGCAAAGCUGGAGCGAUAGUAGAGUGGGACACGUGAACUCCCAACUUGCCCUUGCUCGUGAGGUGCUGCAUAGGUUGGAGAUUGCACAAGAUGCUCGAUCCUUAUCGCUAAGCGAAAAUUGGCUCAAAAAUAAAUUGAAGAAGCACUCCCUUGGACUUGCCUCAUUAAAGCGCACCAUCGCCCGUCUAAGAUCUAGAGUUUCUUGGCUCAAAGAAGGUGAUGCUAAUACGAAAUUGUUUCAUAUGCAUGCCCGUCACCGGAAAAGAAAAAAUUUUGUGGCAAGAUUGGUUGCUGACAACCAGGUUUUCACUGGACAUAAUGAGAAGGCCAUUCUAAUGGAUCAAUUUUUUUCCAAUCUGCUGGGUGUCAGCAUUGACAGAGAUUGCUCUGUCAAUCUUGAAGCUGUGGGAGUUCCAACCUUUGAUUUGGCUGCUCUGGACUUGCCUUUCUUGGAGAAAGAAGUGUGGGAAACAGUUAAAUUGUUGCCUUCAGAUAAGGCUCCGGGUCCUGAUGGUUUCACAGGAGGAUUUUAUAAAGCCUGCUGGUCUAUAAUUAAAGGGGAUAUAAUGGCAGCAGUUUCAGCAGUUUGGAGCAGGAGAUUUGCGCAGUUCAAUAGGCUGAACACAGCGUACAUCACAUUGAUCCCAAAGAAGGAGGGGGCCGAUCAAGUAAAAGACUUCAGACCAAUUAGCCUGGUACAUAGCUUCGCAAAACUGAUCACCAAGCUGCUAGCUAAUCGCCUAGCUGGAAGGUUAAAUGAGAUGAUUUCACCCAUUCAAAGUGCUUUUAUAAAAGGCCGUUUUAUUCAGGAUAACUACAUGUUAGUUCAGCAAACUGCAAGGCUCCUCCAUCGACGAAGACAGGCCCAUUUGCUUCUGAAAUUGGACAUCACAAAAGCCUUUGAUUCUGUCUCCUGGCCUUUUCUCAUAGAGGUAUUACAAAGGAUGGGAUUUGGACAGAUUUGGAGGGAUAUUCUAUGUGGGCUGCUUGCAACCUCUUCCACUCAAGUGAUGGUAAAUGGGUUUCCGGGUAAACAUAUUGUUCAUCGUCAAGGACUACGACAGGGUGACCCCCUCUCACCGAUGCUCUUCAUUCUAGUCAUGGAUGUGCUUGGGCGAAUGGUCACUGCAGCUGAAGGGGCAGGACUUCUUCAACCCCUUGCUACAAGAUCUGUGCAUCACCGAGUCUCUAUGUAUGCUGAUGAUGUAGUCCUCUUCUUGCGACCAGCUGCCGAAGAUAUAGCAACCAUAGUGGAUAUUCUUCACCUAUUCGGCGAGGCUUCUGGGCUACAUAAUAAUGCCCAGAAAUCUAAUGUAUAUCCCAUUCGUUGCGACGAGAGUGACAUUGCAGUUGUGCAAGGUUUGCUGCCGUGUGGAAUUUCGUCCUUUCCCUGUAAAUAUCUUGGACUUCCAUUAACGCUGCGAAAGAUAACCAAGGAUCAGGCGCAACCAAUUAUUGACAAAUUUGCAAAUCAGCUUCCUGGGUGGAAGGCAGACUUGAUGACAAGGGCUGGGAGAACAGUUCAAGUGCGGUUUGUGCUUACUGGGAUGCUCAUCUACUUAGCAAUGGCAAUUGAUCUCCCAACUUAUAUCACAAAAGCAAUCGAUAAAAUCCGAAGAGGCUUUCUUUGGAGAGGUCGCAAAGAGAUAAAUGGGGGGCAUUGUCUUGUUUCUUGGAGCAAAGUUUGUCGGCCUCUUGAUUUGGGUGGUCUUGGUAUUUCAAGCAUUAUGGAGCUGAGUUGGGCGCUGCGGAUGCGUUGGUUAUGGCUGCAAAAAACGGAGCCUAACCGACCUUGGUCAUCCUUGACUAUUCGAGUUCCGGACAAGGUCCAGGCCUUCUUCAGUAUGGCGAUGCAAACGGAAGUUGGGAAUGGUGCUAAUACUCUUUUUUGGAAGGAUCGAUGGCUUCAAGGACAGAGGGUGGCAGAUAUUGCGCCAAGACUUCUUCAAGUUGUUCCGAAAAGAAAAAUCAAUACAAGGACAGUCCAAGAAGCUAUUACUGGAAGAGCAUGGAUGUCGGAUAUUCGAGGGGCCCUAUCUGUGGGGGCAAUUGUUGAUUAUCUUCACCUUUGGAACUUAUUGUUAACUGCUGAAUUAAGACCGAAUGUUGAAGAUAAGCACAUUUUUAGGUUGGCUGCCAAUGGAAAAUAUUCAGCGAAAUCUGCCUACGAGGGGCUAUUCAUUGGCUCGAUUCCUUUUGAACCGUACGAAAGGAUAUGGAGAACCUGGGCGCCUCCUAAAUGUCGGUUUUUUAUGUGGUUAGUUGCUCAAAAAAGAUGUUGGACAGCUGAUCGUCUUGCAAAAAGAGGAUUGGAUCACCCUGAUAGUUGCCCUCUUUGUGAACAAGAAAGUGAAACGAUAGACCAUCUUCUGGUCUCUUGUGUUUUCUCAAGGGAGUGCUGGUUCCUUUUGUUGAGACAAUUUGGACUGCAUAAUCUAUCCCCUCAACCAGAAAAUGACAGUUUCCUGGACUGGUGGAGGACAAUAAGUGAAAUGGCAGCUGGACAAAUGAAGAUGGGGAUUAACUCCCUUGUUUUGCUUGGUGCAUGGAUCUUAUGGAAGCACCGCAAUCAGUGUGUCUUCGAGGGCGGCAGUCCGAGUGUUGCUGCUGUUCUGGAGCAGGUUGGAGAAGAGCGAAGGUUGUGGGAGAUGGCAGGGGCUAAGGGGCUUAUCUUCCUAGCAGCUAACCUUCCUCACGGCUAAUUUCUGUUCAAGGGUUUGUUUGUUUUUUUUUAUCUGUUUUUUUGAGGAGUUUAAACCUCAGUGUUAUGGUUUGUAAGGGCUUCGGCCCCGACUUUUUUCUUCUUCUUAAAUAUAAUGAUAUGCAGCUCUCCUGCAUAUUCGAGAAAAAAAAAGACAAGAGGUAUCUCUGAUGAAGAAACUACGUCAUCCAAAUAUUAUACUCUUCAUGGGAGCAGUUGCAUCUCCAGAACGACUUUGUAUUGUUACAGAAUUUCUUCCACGGGGGAGUUUGUUCCGCUUACUUCAAAAGAACACUGCCAAGCUGGAUCCAAGACGACGAGUUCACAUGGCUAUAGACAUU